rnacentral:lncRNA from 1 species
CCAAGAUAAUCUGAGAAGAGAAUGAUUACAAUCAGCAAAGGGCUCAGAAAGGAAGCAUUUCCUAGGGAAGGGAGAGAGCAAGUGAGGCAGAUCAGAAUCGAACCAGUCGAGGGGGGCAGUUGAUGGACGAGAUGAAUUUGGGAUAUCUUUCAGAGGAAGGCACUUCAAAUUCUUGUUAUUUAUUUCACUAUGGUGCUCUCUGUGAUUGGAACAGCUUGAUAUAGUUUGGCUCUGUGUCCUCACCCAAAUUUCAUCUUGAAUUGUACUCCCAUAAUUCCCACGUGUUGUGGGAGGGACCCGGUGGGAGAGAAUUGGAUCACGGGGGCAGGUUUCCCCCAUACUGUUCUCGUGGUGGUGAAUAAGUCUCACGAGAUCUGACGCUUUUAUCAGGGGUUUCCGCUUUUGCGUCUUCUUUCUCUCUUCGCCUGCUGCCGUCCAUGUAAGAUGGGACUUGCUCCUCCUUGCCUUCCACCAUGAUUGUGAGGCUUCCUCAGCCACGUGGAACUAUGCCCUGACCUUCCGGGAAACCCUCGGUGAGAGGCCCACAGCCUCGCUUCUAGGGUCACCACUGCUUCUUCCAGUCUAGCCAAACAGCUCCUAGUACAGCUCAGAGCACCCUGCAAGGAGGGCACGUGUUAAAUCGAGGAGCACACAUGCUCCACGAGGAAUUCUUUGCUUUGAGGCCAUGCACAGAGGUGGGUUCACUAUGAAGCUUGUGAAAUAAGCUUCAGGGCCCGCAUUUGCAUGGGCCACAGAGAGUCUGGGAGCUGCAGAAGGUUCAAGGGAAGAGGAGCCAUCACAAGCAGAAUAUUCUAGAAGGCAUUUCUGGCAAAUGGCCCAAAGAGGCCUCAGGAGAAAAGAACUUGAGUCUUCAAGGAUGCAAUGAGAAGGCACCAUCUGUGAGGAACAGGCCUCCGACAGACACCGAAUUUGCUGGCACUUUGAUCUUGGACUUCCCAGCCUCCAAAAUUAUCCAUAAUGGAUUCCUGGGACAUUUUCAGAUCUCCUUCCAGCUUCCUCUUCGCCCUUUCCAAGUCCGCCCGCAGUUUCUUCUCCUGCUCUAAGGAACCCUCAAGCUGAGAAGACACACAGAUGGAGUCUCGCUGCGAUGCCCAGGCUGGAGUGCAAUGGUGCAAUCUUGGCUCACUGCAACCUUCGUUUCCCAGGUUUAAGCAAUUCUCCUGCCUCAGCCUCCCAAGUAUCUGGGACUACAGGCGAGCGUCACCAUGCCUGGCUAAUUUUUGUAUUUUUAGUAGAGAUGUUUAGUAGAGAGUUUCACCAUAUUGGCCAGGCUGGUCUUGAACUCCUGACCUCAAGGGAUCCGCCCACCUUGGCCUCUCAAAGUGCUGGGAUUACAGGCGUGAGCCACCGUGCCUGGCAAUGUUUGUAGUUUCUUUCAUGAAUUUACCUCCUUUUAUUCUUUAAUCCCUGCUUAUCUCUAAAGAGUAAGUAACUGAAAGUAAUAAAACGGAAUUUUCUCAACAAUAUUUUAUAAGUUGAUUUCUUUUUCUUUCCUACAGGAAACAACCCAAUUUGCCAUCUUAAUUUGGAGUCUACUUUUUCUGAAUGACUCAGUUUUCUCUGAUACUUAAUCAAGAUGCAGCCUUGGGGGAAAAUGUCAUGUCCCAGUCUCCCCCAUGUUCCUUUCCCUUCAUCCCACUUUGUCCCCGGGGUCUAGCAUGACUGUGUGUUUGGAUUGGGGAAGUGAAGGCAGGAAAGUCGCUUCCCCAAAUCCGCAUCCACACAGGGUCUUAUGUUAGAGUUGAUGUUAUCUCUAGGCGAGGUUAUGCAAUGUAGUUACAGAGACAUUGUGAUUAGAUUCAAAGAAAAUGAUUUUCAUCAUUGAAGUUUACGCAUGUGCCCAUUUCCUAUUUAUUACAUUCCCUGGCCCAGAGGACAUUAGGC